rnacentral:rRNA from 1 species
GCCGGCACGUUUACUUUGAACAAAUUAGAGUGCUUAAAGCAGGCUGGUGUCCGCCUGAAUACUGUGUGCAUGGAAUAAUAGAAUAGGACCUCGGUUCUAUUUUGUUGGUUUUCGGAACCCGAGGUAAUGAUUAAUAGGGACAGGCGGGGGCAUUCGUAUUGCGACGUUAGAGGUGAAAUUCUUGGAUCGUCGCAAGACGAACCUAAGCGAAAGCAUUUGCCAAGUAUGUUCUCGUUAAUCAAGAACGAAAGUUAGAGGUUCGAAGGCGAUCAGAUACCGCCCUAGUUCUAACCAUAAACGAUGCCAGCCAGCGAUCCGCCGAAGUUCCUCCGAUGACUCGGCGGGCAGCUUCCGGGAAACCAAAGCUUUUGGGUUCCGGGGGAAGUAUGGUUGCAAAGCUGAAACUUAAAGGAAUUGACGGAAGGGCACCACCAGGAGUGGAGCCUGCGGCUUAAUUUGACUCAACACGGGAAACCUCACCAGGCCCGGACACCGGAAGGAUUGACAGAUUGAGAGCUCUUUCUUGAUUCGGUGGGUGGUGGUGCAUGGCCGUUCUUAGUUGGUGGAGCGAUUUGUCUGGUUAAUUCCGAUAACGAACGAGACUCUAGCCUGCUAACUAGGCGAUUUCCGGUACCCACAAUAGUGUUACCGGCGAUUCAAUUUCUUCUUAGAGGGACAGGCGGCUCCUAGCCGCACGAGACUGAGCAAUAACAGGUCUGUGAUGCCCUUAGAUGUCCUGGGCCGCACGCGCGCUACACUGAAGGAAUCAGCGUGUCUUCCCUGGCCGACAGGCCCGGGUAACCCGUUGAACCUCCUUCGUGCUAGGGAUUGGGGCUUGCAAUUGUUCCCCAUGAACGAGGAAUUCCCAGUAAGCGCGAGUCAUAAGCUCGCGUUGAUUACGUCCCUGCCCUUUGUACACACCGCCCGUCGCUACUACCGAUUGAAUGAUUUAGUGAGGUCUUCGGACUGGUGCGCGGCGGUCGGCACUGCUGGCCGCCGAUGUUGCCGGAAAGAUGACCAAACUUGAUCA